GGAUGCGAUCAUACCAGCACUAAAGCACCGGAUCCCAUUAGAACUCCGAAGUUAAGCGUGCUUGGGCGAGAGUAGUACUGGGAUGGGUGACCUCCUGGGAAGUCCUCGUGUUGCAUUCC
rnacentral:rRNA from 1 species